rnacentral:misc_RNA from 1 species
AAAGUCGUAACAAGGUUUCCGUAGGUGAACCUGCGGAAGGAUCAUUAUAAAAUUUUCGUAUAUUUAUUUUUAAAUAUAUAAAAAUCAUACAUGUAUUCAAAACCCACACGCUUGUAACCAAUUUUAACAAAACAUUAUAUCUCGCAUAUAAUGAUAAUUAAAAAACAACUUUCAACAACGGAUCUCUUGGCUCUC